UACAGAGGUCUCGAGCGUUAGGCGGAAUCACUGGGCUUAAAGCGUGUGUAGGUGGAUCGGUAAGUACCUUGUGAAAUCCCACGGCUUAACCGUGGAACUGCUUGGUAUACUGCCAGUCUUGAGCCAGCUAGGGGCUACCGGAACAAAUGGUGGAGCGGUGAAAUGCGUAGAUAUCAUUUGGAACGCCGAAGGUGAAAACAGGCUGCUGGGGUUGCGCCGACGCUGAGACACGAAAGCCAGGGGAGCAAACGGG
rnacentral:rRNA from 1 species